rnacentral:rRNA from 1 species
AUCAGGAGGAACACCGAUGGCGAAGGCAGGUCUCUGGGCAUUAACUGACGCUGAGGAGCGAAAGCAUGGGGAGCGAACAGGAUUAGAUACCCUGGUAGUCCAUGCCGUAAACGUUGGGCACUAGAUGUGGGGGACAUUCCACGUUUUCCGCGCCGUAGCUAACGCAUUAAGUGCCCCGCCUGGGGAGUACGGCCGCAAGGCUAAAACUCAAAGGAAUUGACGGGGGCCCGCACAAGCGGCGGAGCAUGCGGAUUAAUUCGAUGCAACGCGAAGAACCUUACCAAGGCUUGACAUGAACCGGAAAGACCUGGAAACAGGUGCCCCGCUUGCGGUCGGUUUACAGGUGGUGCAUGGUUGUCGUCAGCUCGUGUCGUGAGAUGUUGGGUUAAGUCCCGCAACGAGCGCAACCCUCGUUCUAUGUUGCCAGCACGUGAUGGUGGGGACUCAUAGGAGACUGCCGGGGUCAACUCGGAGGAAGGUGGGGACGACGUCAAAUCAUCAUGCCCCUUAUGUCUUGGGCUUCACGCAUGCUACAAUGGCCGGUACAAAGGGUUGCGAUACUGUGAGGUGGAGCUAAUCCCAAAAAGCCGGUCUCAGUUCGGAUUGGGGUCUGCAACUCGACCCCAUGAAGUCGGAGUCGCUAGUAAUCGCAGAUCAGCAACGCUGCGGUGAAUACGUUCCCGGGCCUUGUACACACCGCCCGUCAAGUCACGAAAGUUGGUAACACCCGAAGCCGGUGGCCUAACCCCUUGUG